UGGGGAAUUUUGCACAAUGGGCGCAAGCCUGAUGCAGCGACGCCGCGUGAGGGAUGAAGGCCUUCGGGUUGUAAACCUUUUUCGCUCAUGGUCAAGCCGCAGCUUUGGGUUGUGGUGAGGGUAGUGGGUAAAGAAGCGCCGGCUAACUACGUGCCAGCAGCCGCGGUAAUACGUAGGGCGCGAGCGUUGUCCGGAAUUAUUGGGCGUAAAGGGCUUGUAGGUGGCUGGUUGCGUCUGUCGUGAAAGCUCAUGGCUUAACUGUGGGUUUGCGGUGGGUACGGGCUGGCUUGAGUGCAGUAGGGGAGGCUGGAAUUCCUGGUGUAGCGGUGGAAUGCGCAGAUAUCAGGAGGAAUACCGGUGGCGAAGGCGGGUCUCUGGGCUGUUACUGACACUGAGGAGCGAAAGCAUGGGGAGCGAACAGG
rnacentral:rRNA from 1 species